rnacentral:rRNA from 1 species
UACGUAGGGUGCGAGCGUUGUCCGGAAUUACUGGGCGUAAAGAGCUCGUAGGUGGUUUGUCGCGUUGUCCGUGAAAACUCACAGCUCAACUGUGGGCGUGCGGGCGAUACGGGCAGACUGGAGUACUGCAGGGGAGACUGGAAUUCCUGGUGUAGCGGUGGAAUGCGCAGAUAUCAGGAGGAACACCAGUGGCGAAGGCGGCCAACUGGACCAUAACUGACGCUGAGGUGCGAAAGCGUGGGGAGCAAACAGG